rnacentral:rRNA from 1 species
AGUGAACGCCGGCGGUAGGCCUAACACAUGCAAGUCGAACGGCAGCACAGUAAGAGCUUGCUCUUACGGGUGGCGAGUGGCGGACGGGUGAGGAAUACAUCGGAAUCUACUUUUUCGUGGGGGAUAACGUAGGGAAACUUACGCUAAUACCGCAUACGACCUACGGGUGAAAGCAGGGGAUCUUCGGACCUUGCGCGAUUGAAUGAGCCGAUGUCGGAUUAGCUAGUUGGCGGGGUAAAGGCCCACCAAGGCGACGAUCCGUAGCUGAUCUGAGAGGAUGAUCAGCCACACUGGAACUGAGACACGGUCCAGACUCCUACGGGAGGCAGCAGUGGGGAAUAUUGGACAAUGGGCGCAAGCCUGAUCCAGCCAUACCGCGUGGGUGAAGAAGGCCUUCGGGUUGUAAAGCCCUUUUGUUGGGAAAGAAAAGCAGCAGGUUAAUACCCCGCUGUUCUGACGGUACCCAAAGAAUAAGCACCGGCUAACUUCGUG